GCCAGGCGUGGUGGCGUGCACCUAUAAUCCCAGCUACUUGGGAGGCUGAGGUAGAAGAAUCGCUUGAACCUAGGAGGCAGAGGCUGCAGUGAGCUGAGAUUGUGCCACUGCACUCCCGCCUGGGUGACAGAGUGAGACUCCAUCUCAA
rnacentral:SRP_RNA from 1 species